UACGAAGGGGGCUAGCGUUGCUCGGAAUCACUGGGCGUAAAGGGUGCGUAGGCGGGUCUUUUAAGUCAGGGGUGAAAUCCUGGAGCUCAACUCCAGAACUGCCUUGAUACUGAAGAUCUUGAGUUCGGGAGAGGUGAGUGGAACUGGCGAGUGUAGAGGUGAAAUUCGUAGAUAUUCGCAAGAACACCAGUGGCGAAGGCGGCUCACUGGCCCGAUACUGACGCUGAGGCACGAA
rnacentral:rRNA from 1 species